rnacentral:lncRNA from 1 species
GCCGAUUACAGGGUUUUUGGGCUUAGAAGGAAGUAGUGGAGCCAGAGACAAGUGAGCCAAAGCUGGGAAUACAGACCUGUUGCUGCCUGGGCUAGCUAGAGACAGAGUCAGCAGGACCAUGUUAGGGCAGAGAGUUGUAGCUGACUGUCAUUGCGUGGGGCUGGCGUGGCAGCAAAGGGAAUUCCAGAACUCCAUUCCCCCCUGAGAGUUGGCAGGCAGUAACAUGGAAAGUCUGAUGGUCAUUUUUAAUAUUUUCCACAACAGGCACAAGAGUUUGGAGGCAUGGCCAUGAGAAUGAAUGGAAAUCUCCAACUGACUGUGGUAGAAUGGUGAAAGACAUCUUCAGGAUGAUACCGCGACCUGGGAUAAGGGAGGUGCCCAAGAAAAAUGGGAUUGACCUUAGCAGGACUCAUCCUACAGCAAGGCAGGAACCCCAGUGGAGUGAUAUACACACCAACCCACCCACAAAACUUGCUUUUUAUUUUUUUAGUGCCACUGUAGACUAAGAAUUAGACACAUCAUCUUAUAAGCCUCCAUGAGGGUCGGUAUUGCUGCCUUAAAAUCCUGGGUCUUCAGCAAACACAGGGAUUAAUUGGAAGUUACAAGUUCCAGCGAAGCCUGUUCUUGAGGAAACACAGUCUUUGUGGACUCACAAGAGGAUGUAUUCAACUUCCCAGCUCACUGAUUUGACAGUAAAGGAUUCUUGGGUGGCAUUUCAGAGCAUAGAGAUGACCCUAGAACACCUCUGCUCCCAACCCUGCCCCUACCCCCUGCUGAAGCCUCUGUUUCAAAUGAUGUAGCUACUUGGAUGUACCUACUUUAAAAAU